ACAGACACUUCUAUAUCUGUCUGAAAGAGACGUUGGGGCUGAAAAUGAGUUCUUUCCGCCAUCCUCUUCAGCUGGCUAAUCUAUACCUCAUGCAAUGGAAGUGAAUAUCAGUAAGGACUAUUCACCUAGAGUAACAGACCAGCUAAAAACCAGGGUCUCUAACUGACCUUUGUGAGCCAGCCCCUCACAGUGGGCCUGGUGGUGGUGGUCUCCACGGUAACGGGGCUGCUGGCCUGGACUCUGAGGAUGUUCUGCAGGACCCGGAUCCACUCCUCCAGGAUGUUGGGAGAGUCGGCGGUCAGAUAGAAGGUCUUCUUCUCUGUGAUCAGCUGAGUGGACGAAAAAAGGGAGAAAUAUGGGAAAAAUGCUUCAGCCGAGCCCGAGACUGAGAUAGUAUCAUCGUGUCAGAGGAGAUGAGAAUCAGCAUCCAGGGAAACAUUCCAGACCAACGCUAUACCUGAUGUCAUUUUAAGCUGCUCCUCUGACAGCAAAUCCCUAGAAGGAAGCAGCAGCCGGCUCACACUCACAGGAGAUUUGUAGUAGAGGAUCUCUCCGUUCCUCAGGAUGAACCAGCGGCGUUUCCAGGCCUUCACCUGACUGCCCAUCUUCAGCAGGUACCCCGACUUCUCCAGCAUCUCCUGCACACACACACACACACACAGCUCAGAGGUCAU